UACACACCGCCCCGUNACACCAUGGGAGUUGGAUUGACCCGAAGGGUGGUGAGCUAACCCGCAAGGGGAGGCAGCCAACCACGGUCGGUUCAGCGACUGGGGGUG
rnacentral:rRNA from 1 species